GACGAACGCUGGCGGCGUGCUUAACACAUGCAAGUCGAACGGAAGGGCCCUGCUUUUGUGGGGUGCUCGAGUGGCGAACGGGUGAGUAACACGUGAGUAACCUGCCCUUGACUUUGGGAUAACUUCAGGAAACUGGGGCUAAUACCGGAUAGGAGCUCCUGCUGCAUGGUGGGGGUUGGAAAGUUUCGGCGGUUGGGGAUGGACUCGCGGCUUAUCAGCUUGUUGGUGGGUAGUGGCUUACCAAGGCUUUGACGGGUAGCCGGCCUGAGAGGGUGACCGGCCACAUUGGGACUGAGAUACGGCCCAGACUCCUACGGGAGGCAGCAGUGGGGAAUAUUGCACAAUGGGCGGAAGCCUGAUGCAGCAACGCCGCGUGCGGGAUGACGGCCUUCGGGUUGUAAACCGCUUUCGCCUGUGACGAAGCGUGAGUGACGGUAAUGGGUAAAGAAGCACCGGCUAACUACGUG
rnacentral:rRNA from 1 species